rnacentral:lncRNA from 1 species
UCCAAAAUAAAUAAAAAAGAAAAAGACAAAAUCUUUAUAACAAAAACUUUGUACUAAAGAAUACCAUAUUAUAUGUUCAUUCUAUAGAUCUACUUAUGUGAAGUCCAACAAAAUUAAAUUUUUUAUUUUAUGAUUUUUCUGUGAUUUCCUAUGAUUUUUAAAAGGUUCAGCCGAAAUAAUUAAAAAAGAACUGAAUGAUAAAUAGAAAUUCUUAAAAGAAAAAGACAAAACUACUGUCACUAUAACAAAACUAUUAUUCACUGUACCAAAACGAUUGGCCCAACGAUGCUGGGCCGGUCAGAACUAAUCAGGAGUAGUUGGGCUGGACCCGUAACAGCAAGAUGAAUCCAAGUUGGCCCAACGAGUGGUACACAGAGUCCGACGAAUAACGGGCCUAGUCCAGAUGUAGAGAUUUCUGAGUCCGGUUUAUUGAGUUCGUCACAGUUUAAAUUUAAUCCAAAUAUGGAUAAGGGGUUGAGUUCAUGUGGACUAAAUUUUAUAGUUUAUUAAAGUUGAACAUUAAAACUUAAGACCACUUUAACUUCCUUCUGUGUGUUCUAAAUUUUUAUUGUAAGAUUUACUAAACUUUAGAUGGCAUUUAUAGAACUACUAUUUAGAGCCUCAAAGUAAACUAAAGUUUAGUCGUUCGACUUUAGACCAUAGGAUCCAGUACUACCAUUGGCAUGGCAUCAACACUAAGCCCAAUUUUUAAAGAUUUCCUAUCACAUCGAAUCUUCUACGGCAGAUGCAUGGACCAUUAAAUAUAGAUAAAAAAUAACUAAUUGUACAAUUUACUUUUAAUUUGUGAGACAAAUCUUUUAAGUCUAGUUAACAUAUAAUUGGACGAUAAUUACUAACUACAAACGUAAAUGCUACGGUAGUCAAAACCAAAAAAAUCGCCAACUAAACAAGGCCUAACCACCAGCACCAGGUUACAUGUAAUUUGCGAGACGAAUUGAACGUAGUUAAUCUAUAAUCUCUACAACUAAAAAUUAUGAAAAGGACCCAUCUACCACACACAUGGUGAAGCCACAACUCCCAUCCCUUUUAGUCAUGAUAGGCUAUCCCAUCAACCUAGGCCCCACUCACCCCAUGCAUGCAAAAUUGUUUGAGCGAAUUUAAAAAAGUCAUAACUUUUAAACCGAAGAUAUAAAUUAAAUUCCGAUUACACCAUUAAAUUUAUCAUAACAAAUCCUUCAAAACAAGAUCACACAUGGAUAUAUUUAGAUAAAAUUUUAUUAAUGAAUAUUUAUCUCUACAACUAAAAAUUAUGGAGAGGACCCAUCCAUAACUUCCAUCAUUUUGGUGGUCUUUUUUACUGCGCGAUGACACGCUAUCCCAUCAACCUAGGCCCCACUCACCUAUGCAUGCAAAAUUGUUUUAGCGAAUUAGAAAAAGUCAUAACUCCUAAACUAGAGAUAUAAAUUAAAUUCUGAUUGCAAAAUUAAAUUUCUUAUAACAAAUUCUUCAGAAUAAAAUCACACAUGAAUAUAUUUAGAUAAAAUUUUAUUAAUGAAUAUUUAUCUUAUAAAGAUAAAAUAUUUUCUUUUAUUAAGUGGAAACAAUAUUUUAGGUUCAAUAGACAAUGUUCUGCCUUUGUAAAAAAAUGUUAUCGAUUUAGAAGAAUAGUACUUUGGUUUUAGGUUUAUGAAAUUGAUAUUACAAUAUACAUAAAAAAUACAUAAAUACAUGACAUAGAUAAAAAAAUAAAAAAAAUCUAGAGUAAAAAGCACAAGAAAAAAUAAAAACACAAAUGGAGAAAAAUUUCAAAUAAUGUCAAAUGGUUACUUUUCAAAUAUCGUAAAUAUAUUUAUAGAACAUUAACAUCACUAAAUACAUCAUAGAACAUCAUUAAAUAUAUUAUAGAACAUCACAUCUAUUAUAGAUUACUUGUAUACCAAGUGAACACCGUAAGAAACAUUAUAGAAUAUCACAUAUAUACUACGUAAACAUGACAUAACACAACAUAGAACACUAAAUAUAUAUUAAAUAAAUACCACAUAUAUAUAGAAAAUAAAAAUAAAAAAAUAAAAUUACUAAGAAAAAAAUAUAAAAACAAACAUAAUUAACAAAUGAUAAAAAGUGCAUAGAAAAAAUAAAAUUAAUGAAUAAUUUAAAUAAGGUUAAAAAUAAGAUUAAAAGGAAAUAAAAUAUAAAAUAAGAAUGAAGAAACAUAGAAAAUGUGAAAAGAACAAAGAAAAACAAAUAGAAGCAAGGAAGAACAAUAAAAAUAAAACCAAAGAAAAAGAAAAUAAAAGGUAAAAUUAAAACAAGAAAAUAAUAAGGAAAGGACAGAAAAUAAAAUAAAAUCGAAAAAACAAAAACUGAAAAGAAAUGAAAAAAGAAGAAUAUAGACAGAAAAAAUAAAAUAACAAUGAAGAAACAUAAAGUAUGUGGAUUUUAAAACCCGUAACAACGUACGGGCAUUAACUUAGUUAGAUAAUAAUUACUAAAUACAAAUGAAAGUGUUACAAUAGUUAAAAAAAAAAAUCACCAACUAAACAAGGCCUAACCACCAGCACCGGGAAAACAAAGUUGUGCACGUGGACAGUUGACUGAAAAAAAAAACGAACCAGCUACACGCAUACCACGAGCUGAGCCGCGGACAUGAAAUCUGCAAAAGUGAUGGCUAGGUGUCCAUCAGAGAUGACACAUGAACAAACGCAACAACCGCAUUAGCGUACACAAACACGUCGUUGAUGCACAUCAUCGAUCUCACGCAGGCAGAGGCGGAGCUCCCAUUAGGCACAGUGGGGCAGCUGCGCCAGCUACCGCCGGUGUGGCUCCCUACCUCCAGCUUCUCCUUCCUAAUCUGCUAUGUGUAGCGUUAUUUCUUGACUCUAGCAUAAGGACUGAGAGCGAAGGAACGUGCAGUGAGGGCUGAGGGAUAACUGAUAAACAUCAACACUCUUGUGGGGAUUCCGAAACUCCUUUAGUUUUAAAUUUGUCAUUUAUUAGACACUUAAACUCUCAUUGUGUGAUAUCAAUAAAAAUAUGCCUACGAUCAGAUCAUAUGUGUCCGCGCCUCACCUAAAAUUUGGUUUGAGCUCCGCCACUGCACGCAGGCGCAGCACGUGAUGAUGCACUGAUUCGAUGAGCAUUAUAUUAUAUUGCCAACACACGCUGGAUUGGUCGGUAGCUAAUAGCUCCUCAUGUUCCCUUUCAUGAUUAACUGUACUUGUGCACCAAUAAAAAGGUGUUUCCGCAUUUAUCUGAAAAAAACAGUGGCCAUUCAGACGUCUCGUCGUCUCCAAUAAUUGCGGGGGUCUACUUUUCGAGAUGCAAAAGAUCGAAGUUUUCUUUGAUUUUACAACUACUCCUUACAAAGUUAACCACAAAUUUAUACUAUGAAUUCUCGACUGGUCCUCCAAAUAUAUAUUCCUCGCAAAAAGCCUACUGGUUACAAAAGCCUCAGCACUAUUUUAAAGUCUUGGGUUCGACUUUUCAUGGAAGUGAGAUGUCGUGAUUUCGUCAAUCCUCAAGAAUUUAAUAAUCCAUGCUUCAAAAAUAUCCGUAGAGAUACAAUUUGCGUACGUGUAUACAUUUAUAGGGAUGAGUAUACUUACGUUGUAAGUGUGUAAUAAAAAAAUACUUCAUCAAUCUCAUAUAUAAUAAAUAUAAUAAGUAGUACACUAUGACACUGAUACGAUAUUCAAUGAGCUAUUUUUAUAUUAUAGUUUCGUUUGGCACAACUAUGCUUUAGUAGUAUAGUUAUUUUUUUACUUUAGCUUCACAAGUAGCUCUAUUGGUUGAGUUAAAACUGUUUUGAUUAACUAUUUGGUAAAAUAUAUAGUUGUAUAAGCUUUUUAAAACAUGGUCACAUUCAAAGAACCUCACGUAGGGGUUCACCAGAGCAAACGAGAGCUAAGAAAAGUUACUAUUUUUUUCCAUCUCUUAUCCAUACUUUGUGAGAGUACAUUUAAAAAAAACACCUUAGGUGUACCAAUUUCAUUUUAUCAUAUUUGGCAUGAAAUUAGAAAUAGCUUAUGUAGCCCGUUGAGAAACCAACGGGGCCUAAUAAUAUCUAUGGGGAUAUAUUUAUGAAGCAGAAAUAGUCAUAUGCUAGAAAACCUUUACUAUGAAGUGUAGAUAAACAUAAACAGACAUAGGUAUACCUAUAAAAAAAUUGUUUUGGAUAAUAUUUAGGUCGAAUAUUAAAAAUAUAAAUCAUUAAUAACUUUUAAGUUAUUGAGUUUUAAAAUAUAAAAAACAUAUUAAUAUAUUUAUCUUAAAUAAUACUUUUAUAAAAAUAUACAUAAAUUAUUUUUUGAUAAAUAUUUUUAUAAAAAUAUAAAGUCAAAAUUAAACUUUGAAGUAAAUGUUUGGAGAUGAGAGGUAGGACUAGUACGCAGGAAAGGCGCUAAAAUAGAUCUGAAUCUGAAUAAAAUAAUGUGACCGUGCCUAUUCAAAAACUACUCGUACGUACUACUUAUUAAUUAUACCAAACAAGUGCCUUUGGUCAGAAAAAAAGAAGUUGGAUUUUAGACAUCCAAUGAUUUUUUUUUUCUCAUCAAAAAUCAGUAAAUAGUAUUUUUAAUCAUAACUCCGACAGCGUAACAAUUUAAGUCAACGAGUCCUCUGUGCAAAAAGUCACAUGCGGCCAUGCAUGCAUGUCUGUACUUGUUUUCACUGUUUUCCGUCUUUGAAGCAUACU